GGAGGGAAGGGAAGGGGAGGGGAGGGGAGGGAAGAGGAGGGGAGGAAGGAAAGGAAGGAAGGAAAGAAGGAGGGAGGGAGGGAAGGAAGGAAGGAGGGAGAGAGGGAAGGAAGGAAGGAAGGAAAAAAGAAAGAGAACCAUAUAACAAAAAUAAAAUACUAAAAGUUAAAAAUCUAAAAUUAAUAAAAUAACAAUUUGUCAAUAAUAGGCCAGGCAUGUAUAAUCGCAACACUUUGGGAGGCUGAGGUAGAAGAACUGCUUGAGGCCAGGAGUUUGAGACCAGCCUGGGCAAUAUAGGGAGACCUUAUCUCUACAAAAAAUUAAAAAAUUAGCUGGGUUGGUGGUGCAUGCCUGUGUUUCCAGCUACUGGGGAGGCUGAGGUGGGAGGAUUACUUAAGGCCAGGAAUUCAAGGUUGCAGUGAGCCAGGAUCAUGCCACUGCACUCCAGACUAGGUAAUGGAGUGAAACCCUGUAUCCGGAAAAAAAAAAAAAAAAGUUACUUGAAAGGGUUGGACAAGGUGGCUCACACCUGUACUCCCAGCACUUUGGGAGGCCAAAGUAGGGAGAUCACUGCAGGCCAGGAGUUGGAGACCAGCCUGGGCAACAUAGCAAGACCUUGUCUCUACAAAAAAAUAAAAAUAAAAAUAAAAAUGAGCUUGGUGUGCUUGCUUCAGCAGCACAUAUACUAAAAUUGGAAUGAUACAGAGAAGAUUAGCAUGGCCCCUGUGCAAGGAUGAUGCAAAUUCAUGAAAUGUUCCAUAUUUUUCUGGAUCAAAAAACAAAACUCAAUGGUAUUCUGUCUUCAACAGCCCUAUCUCAUCCAUAGUCUCAAAAAAAUAAAAUAAAAAGGAUGGAGGAAAAAGUACCAAGCAAAUGGAAAUCAGAAAAAAGCAGGAGUUGCAAUCCUAAUUUCAGAUAAAACAGACUUUAAACCAACAAAGGUCAAAAAAGACAAAGGACAUUAUAGUGGUAAAGGGUUCAAUUCAACAAGAAGACCUAACUGUCUUAAAUAUAUAUGACCCAACACAGAAGCACCCAGAUUCAUAAAGCAAGUUAUUAGGGCUCUUCAAAGAGACUUAGACUCCCACACAGUAAUAGUAGAACACUUCACUAACAGUAUUAGACAGAUCAUCGAAACAGAAACUUAACAAAGAUAUUCAGGACCUGAACUCAACAUUGGACCAAAUGGAUCUGAUAGACCUCUACAGAGCUCUCCUCUGCAAAACAACAGAAUAUACAUUCUUCUCAUUACCACAUGCAACAUAAUCUAAAAUUGACCACACAAUUGGACAUAAAACAAUCCUUAGCAAAUGCAAAAGAACCAAAAUCAUACCAAACAUACUCUUGAACCACAAUGCAAUAAAAACAAAAAUCAAGACAUUAAAAAUUGCCCAAAACCAUACAAUUACAUGCUCCUGAAUGACUUUUGUGUAAGUAAUGAAAUUAAGGCAGAAAUCAAGUAGUUCUUUGAAACUAAUGAGAAAAAAGAUACAACAUAUUAGAAUCUCUGGGACACAGCUAAGGCAGUGUUAAGAGGGAAAUUAUAGCACGAAACACCAACAUCAAAAAGUUAGAAAGAUCUUGCCGGCACGGUGGUUCACACCUGUAAUCCCAGCACACUGGGAGGCUGAGGUGGGAGGAUCAUGAGGUCAGGAGUUCAAGACCAGCCGGGUCAACAUAGUGAAACCCCAUCUCUACUAAAAAUACAAAAAUUAGCCAGGCUUGGUGGCGCGCACCUGUAGUCCCAGCUACUUGGGAGGCUGAGGCAGGAAAAUUGCUUGAACCUGGGAGGCGAAGGUUGUGGUGAGCCGAGACCACGCCACUGCACUCCAGCCUGGGCAACAAAGCAAGACUCCACCUCAAAAAAAAAAAAAAAAAGUUAGAAAGGUCUCAAAAACUUAGAAAGAGAACCAUAAAAUAGUAGGAGUGUUGAAGUCUCCUACUAUUACUGUGUGGGAGUCUAAGUCUCUUUGAAGAGCGCUAAUAACUUGCUUUAUGAAUCUGGGUGCUGCUGUGUUGGGUCAUAUAUAUUCAGCCUAAUAUCAUAACUAAAAGAAACUAGAGAAGAGGCCGGGCACAAUGGCUCAUGCCUGUAAUCUCAGCACUGUGGGAGGCCGAGGCAGGUGGAUCACUUGAGGUCAGGAGGUCGAGACCAGCAUGGCCAACAUGGUGAAGCCUCAUCUCUACUAAAAAUAUAAAAAUUAGCUGGGUGUGGUAACAUGCGCCUGUAAUCUCAGCUACUUGGGAGGUGGAGGCAGGGGAAUCGCUUGAACCUGGGAGGCUGAGGUUGCAGAGAGCCGAGACUGCAUCACUGCAUUCCUGUCUGGGCAACAGGAUGAGACUCCAUCUCAAAAAAAAAGAACUAGAGGCUAGGCUCAGUGGCUCAUGCCUGUAAUCCCAGCACUUUGGGAGGCUGAGGCGGGUGGAUCACAAGGUUAGGAGUUUGACACCAGCCUGGUCAAUAUGGUGAAACCCUGUCUCUACUAAAAAUACAAAAGUUAGCUGGGUGUGGUGGCCGGCACCUGUAGUCCCAGCUACUUGGGAGGCUGAGGCAGGAGAAUCACUUGAACCUGGGAGGCGGAGGUUGCAGUGACCCAAGAUCACGCCACUGCACUCCAGCCUGGGCGACAGAGUGAGACUUUGUCUCAAAAAAAAAAAAAGAACUAGAGAAGCAAGAGCAAACCAACCCCAAAGCUAGCAGAAAAAUAACCAAAAUCAGAGCUGAACUGAAGGAAAUCAAGACACAAAAAGCCAUUCAAAAGAUCAAUGAAUCCAGGAGUUGGUUGUUUGUUUGUUUUUUUUUUUUGAAAAAUUAGUAAGAUAGGCCACUAGCUGGACUAAUGAAGAAAGAGAGAAGAUCCAAAUAAACACAAUUAAGGCAGGGCACGGUGGCUCAUGUCUGUAAUCCCAGCACUUUGGGAGGCCAAGGCGGGUGGAUCAUUGAGGUCAGGAGUUCAAGACCAGCCUGGCCAACACGGCAAAAUCUUGUCUCUACUAAAGAUACAAAAAUUAGCCAGGCGUGCUGGUGGGCGCCUGCAAUCCCAGCUACUUGAGAUGCUGAGGCAGGAGAAUCACCUGAAUCCAGGAGGUGGAGGUUGCAGUGAGCCCAGAUCACGCCACUGCACUCUAACCUGGGCGACAGAGCAAGACUCCAUCUCAAAAAUAAGUAAAUAUGGCUCAUGCCUGUAAUCCCAGCACUUUGGGAGGCCAAGGUGGGUGAUCACUUGAGGUCAGGAGUUCGAGACCAGUCUGGCCAACAUGGUAAAAUCCCGUCUCUACUAAAAAUACAAAAAUUAGCCGGGCAUGGUGACAUAUGCCUAUAAUCCCUGCUACUUGGUAGGCGGAGCCACGAGAAUCUCUUGAACCUGAGAGGCAGAGGUUGCAGUGAGCCAAAAUGGUGCCACUUCACUACAAUCGGAACAACAGAACGAGACUCCAUCUCAAAAAAUAAAUAAAUAAAUAAAUAAACAAAAAAUAAAUAAAC
rnacentral:lncRNA from 10 species